GAUGAACGCUGGCGGCGUGCCUAAUACAUGCAAGUCGAGCGAAGAGAUUAGGAUCUUUCUCCUCUAACAUUAUCGGCGCAAAGGUGAGUAACACGUGUAUAACCUCCCUAUCAUACUCUGAUAAAUUCAGUAAACCGGAUCGCAUACCGGGUAAUAUAUUAAACCGCAUGUUUCAGUAAUUAAAGACUUUUUUGUUGUCACUUAUUGAUGUAUCUGCGCUGCAUUAGCUAGUUGGUAAGGUAACGGCUUACCAAGGCAACGAUGCGUAGCCGACCUGAGAGGGUGAUCGGCCACACUGGGACUGAGACACGGCCCAGACUCCUACGGGAGGCAGCAGUAGGGAAUCUUCCGCAAAGGGCGAAAGCCUGACGGAGCAACGCCGCGUGAGUGAAGAAGGAUUUCGGUUCGUAAAGCUCUGUUAUUAGGGAAGAAUGGAUGUGUAGUAAAUAUACAUGUAAGAGACGGUACCUAACCAGAAAGCCACGGCUAACUACGUG
rnacentral:rRNA from 1 species